AAGUAUUGCACAAUGGGCGCAAGCCUGAUGCAGCCAUGCCGCGUGUAUGAAGAAGGCCUUCGGGUUGUAAAGUACUUUCAGCAGUGAGGAAGGUGGGUAUGUUAAUAGCAUAUUCAUUUGACGUUAGCUGCAGAAGAAGCACCGGCUAACUCCGUGCCAGCAGCCGCGGUAAUACGGAGGGUGCGAGCGUUAAUCGGAAUUACUGGGCGUAAAGCGCAUGCAGGUGGUUUGUUAAGUCAGAUGUGAAAGCCCGGGGCUCAACCUCGGAAUUGCAUUUGAAACUGGCAAACUAGAGUACUGUAGAGGGGGUAGAAUUUCAGGUGUAGCGGUGAAAUGCGUAGAGAUCUGAAGGAAUACCGGUGGCGAAGGCGGCCCCCUGGACAGAUACUGACACUCAGAUGCGAAAGCGUGGGGAGCAAACAGGAUUAGAUACCCUGGUAG
rnacentral:rRNA from 1 species